rnacentral:lncRNA from 1 species
CGGCGCCUUCUGCCUGAGUAUUACUCCAGCCCACUGGGUUUGUUCCUUUCACUCGGACCGGCAGGCUGCGCUCAGCUCACAUUACCAGCCUGGAUCCCAUACCUGCCAAGGGCGAGCCAGAUGCAGAGCGACAGAGGAAGAAUGAAGUAUGCAGACAAUUGGAGGGUGAGCAAGGCGAAGAGGAGCUUCCUUGAGCGACAGAACAGCUCUCAGGAAACCGGAACGUAGAAAUUGGUUUCUUCAGGAAGCCUUCCCUGCUUCUCUAGUUUGAG